AACUUUCAGCAACGGAUCUCUUGGUUCUCGCAUCGAUGAAGAACGCAGCGAAAUGCGAUAAGUAGUGUGAAUUGCAGAAUUCAGUGAAUCAUCGAAUCUUUGAACGCACAUUGCGCCUCCUGGCAUUCCGGGAGGCAUGCCUGUUCGAGAGUCA
rnacentral:rRNA from 1 species